rnacentral:precursor_RNA from 1 species
GCUGCUCGGACCGACAGCUCGACAUGCUGAUUGACCACAUGUUUUCAAAUCGAGUGUUGGUCCGGGCAGCAACC